AAAAAAAAAGAAAAGAUUAAUUUCAUAUAGGUCCUGCAAACAUGAUAAAUAAUAGAUAUAUUUUUAUAAAAUUUAACUUUCAUAAGUUAUUCCUACAAAAGUCUUAAUAUAUUCAGAUAUGUUCCUGCCGUUAAUAUCCGUCAGAGAAAUCUAUUUAACCAUAGUUAAAAUACUUAACUGUGGUCAGUUAAUAAGGUAAAAUAAUAUUUUUAUCCUUCUUCCUCUUCCCCUUUCUCUACUGCUUCCUCCUCUUCUUCUUCCUCUUCCUCUACUGCUUCCUCCUCUUCUUCUUCCUCUUCCUCUACUGCUUCCUCCUCUUCUUCUUCCUCUUCCUCUUCCUCUCCUGCUUUCCUCUUCCUGCUUUCCUCUUCCACUUCCUCUCCUACUGCUUCUUCUUCCUCUUCUUCUUCGUAUCCUCAUUUUCCUCUUCCUUUUCUCCUCCUUCUUCUUCGUCGUCGUCGUCGUCGUCGAUGAUCCAAUCGUCGUCGCCGUCGUGGUGCCC
rnacentral:lncRNA from 1 species